CUGCCUCUUUCACGCCAACAUAUCUCAAUGGUCAUCAGAUGGCACGUGGGAUUAAGAGAAUGCAUGAAAUUAAAGGAAGGAACUAAGAGUCCAACACGAAAUGGACUCUUCCAAUUCAUCAGACAAAACAUGAGGCAUCCUAAUUUAUUUUGGCAUGGAGUUCCUUCCCAGAGAAGGACUCUUCCUCCUCUUCACACCCAC
rnacentral:lncRNA from 1 species